rnacentral:rRNA from 1 species
UACGUAGGGUGCGAGCGUUGUCCGGAAUUAUUGGGCGUAAAGAGCUCGUAGGCGGUUUGUUGCGUCUAUCGUGAAAACCUGCAGCUUAACUGUGGGCUUGCGGUGGAUACGGGCAGACUUGAGUUCGGUAGGGGAGACUGGAAUUCCCGGUGUAGUGGUGGAAUGCGUAGAUAUCGGGAAGAACACCAGUGGCGAAGGCGGUUACCUGGAGCUUUGCUGACGCUGAUGCGCGAAAGCGUGGGGAGCGAUCCGG